rnacentral:rRNA from 1 species
UACGUAGGGUGCAAGCGUUUGUCCGGAAUUAUUGGGCGUAAAGAGCUCGUAGGCGGUUUGUCGCGUCUGCUGUGAAAAUCCGAGGCUCAACCUCGGACUUGCAGUGGGUACGGGCAGACUAGAGUGCGGUAGGGGAGACUGGAAUUCCUGGUGUAGCGGUGAAAUGCGCAGAUAUCAGGAGGAACACCGGUGGCGAAGGCGGCCCACUGGUCCGGUACUGACGCUGGAGGUGACGAAAGCGUGGGGAGCAAACAGG